UACGUAGGGGGCGAGCGUUGUCCGGAUUCAUUGGGCGUAAAGAGCUCGUAGGCGGUGUGUCGCGUCGGCUGUGAAAACCUGCAGCUUAACUGUGGGCUUGCGGUCGAUACGGGCAUCACUGGAGUUCGGCAGGGGAGACUGGAAUUCCUGGUGUAGCGGUGAAAUGCGCAGAUAUCAGGAGGAACACCGGUGGCGAAGGCGGGUCUCUGGGCCGAUACUGACGCUGAGGAGCGAAAGCGUGGGGAGCGAACAGG
rnacentral:rRNA from 1 species